rnacentral:rRNA from 1 species
AACACUGUAUGCAACCUACCUUAUACUGGGGAAUAACUUCGAGAAAUCGGCGCUAAUACCCCAUAACACUGCGAAGAGGCAUCUCUUUGCAUUUAAAGCUCCGGCGGUAUAAGAUGGGCAUGCGUCCAAUUAGCUAGUUGGUGAGGUAACGGCUCACCAAGGCUACGAUUGGUAGGGGUUCUGAGAGGAUGAUCCCCCACACUGGUACUGAGACACGGACCAGACUCCUACGGGAGGCAGCAGAGAGGAAUAUUGCGCAAUGGACGAAAGUCUGACGCAGCCAUGCCGCGUGCAGGAUGACGGCCCUAUGGGUUGUAAACUGCUUUUGUAUGGGAAUAAACCCUUCUACGUGUAGAAGGCUGAAGGUACCAUAAGAAUAAGCACCGGUUAACUCCGUGCCAGCAGCCGCGGUAAUACGGAGGGUGCAAGCGUCAUCCGGAUUUAUUGGGUUUAAAGGG